CCUCCGCUCUUCUCACUUCCUUUUUUACGUAGACUUUCUCACUGUAAUGUUCUCGCAGGAUUUUAGGCUCGGAACCAGACAUGUCAACGCAGUGGGUGCAUGCACAACACACUACUGGAAAAGCCUGGGAGUAUCCUCUGACGUAUGGACAAUGUCUUGGCGAGUCAAUGAUUGAUGGACAAUCAGCCUAUAAUUCAAAAGCGGUUUAAUUUUGCAUAAUCAACAACAGUGGGAAUGCUACAUAUGACAUACAGGUGCCACAUAGACCACAGAGAAAAGCGUUGCGCCGCUUACAACAUGACAUACGCUUGGGAAAUCAGCUGAUUCAUCUAGAUGUUCGCUGGAAAUUGAGGAAAUAUUUAUACAUUUCUUACAUAUCAAUAUUUUUUCGAAGUUG